UACAGAGGUCUCAAGCGUUGUUCGGAUUCAUUGGGCGUAAAGGGUGCGUAGGCGGCGCGGUAAGUCGGGUGUGAAAUCUCGGAGCUUAACUCCGAAACUGCAUUCGAUACUGGCGUGCUUGAGGACUGGAGAGGAGACUGGAAUUCAUGGUGUAGCAGUGAAAUGCGUAGAGAUCAUGAGGAAGACCAGUGGCGAAGGCGGGCCUCUGGACAGUUCCUGACACUGAGACACGAAGGCCAGGGGAGCAAACGGG
rnacentral:rRNA from 1 species